UACGGGGGGAGCAAGCGUUGUUCGGAUUUACUGGGCGUAAAGGGCGCGUAGGCGGCCACCGCAAGUCGGUUGUGAAAUCUCUGGGCUUAACCCAGAAAGGUCAACCGAUACUGCGGGGCUAGAGUGCAGAAGGGGCAACUGGAAUUCUCGGUGUAGCGGUGAAAUGCGUAGAUAUCGAGAGGAACACCAGUGGCGAAGGCGAGUCUCUGGACAUUUCCUGACGCUGAGGCACGAAAGCCAGGGGAGCAAACGGG
rnacentral:rRNA from 1 species